GUGGUUUUCCUAGUACACUCGUCUCGUCACAAGUAACAAGAGUGGUCUUGCUUCCUGAUAAACAUGCUGAUGCUGAAAGUUCUCUUGCCGGCGGUGUGCAUCGCGAUGCUGUUGAUGUCAACCGAGACGACGGCACAGCCCUUAUUAAUCCCCUGCAUACCACUUCUGGGUUGUCAUCACAACAGCACGCAGGCUAGCAUCACACCGCCUGCCAUAUCUCCCACCACCCUAUCAGCUGCAGUCAGCAGCACAUCAGCUGCAGUCAGCACCACAUCAGCUGCAGCCAACAGCACCGCUUAGUAACACGGUCAUCUGUUCUUCCUAGGAAGUUAACGUGCUUAAAUUUGCUGUACAAAGCUAUGGUUAGUUAUUAAAUAAAGCCUAACAUAUAUACUACAGAUUUUUUAAAUAAA